rnacentral:rRNA from 1 species
UACGAAGGGGGCGAGCGUUGUUCGGAAUUACUGGGCGUAAAGGGCGCGCAGGCGGCUCUGAAAGUCAGAUGUGAAAGCCCCGGGCUUAACCUGGGAAUUGCAUUUGAUACUCUGGAGCUUGAGUGUGGGAGAGGAGAGUGGAAUUCCCAGUGUAGAGGUGAAAUUCGUAGAUAUUGGGAAGAACACCGGUGGCGAAGGCGGCUCUCUGGACCACAACUGACGCUGAGGCGCGAAAGCGUGGGGAGCAAACGGGG